GUGGGUCGUUAACCUAGGAGGCCCAAAUGGGGCGGGAUCUAUCCGGGUUAUCCGAAACCAUGGGUCAGAUCCAGUAAGCCUCUCCCUCUUCCAUAGGAAGGCACGUGUGGAGACAAGAUUCUCCCACCCCAAUGGCCACACGUCGUGACCGAGAAAGAAGGCCAUUAAAGCCUAGGGAGAAACAAAACAAUAUUAAUCUCGGGCAGUGGGAAAGGUACCGUUCAUCUUUGGCCUUAAAACUCAUUUUAACACAAAAAUGAAACUGAAACGUGAAGUAUUCUGAUCCGCCUCAAACCUUUCUCUUCUCAGCUUGAAACACUUACAGAAAUAAAUCACAGUCUAUUUCUCCUUACACGAACCAAACUUCAGCAUUAAGAAAAAAGAACAAAUGCAAUUGACAUCUACCAAAUCCUGAACCCUAAUCAACGACGUCAACCUCCAACAUCAAACGACAAAAAGGGGACAAUCAUUUUGCAGAGAAAUAAAAACAAAGCAUGGAAGAGAUAAACUAUGCACACAUUCGUGAAUCUGGGAAUGAAACGCAAAAAGGGGCAAUAAAUUUACCGGAUCGGGGUACUUUGGAGCAAAUGAACAGGGGUUCGUCCUCUUCCUUUUUGAACAGUAGUCGCCGCUCAAUGAGGAGAAAUUUCUCCCUUUUAUAUUCAUCCUGCUAGGGUUUGGAAUUGGCCACUGAGAUCAAAAGAUAUCGGCCUGGGAGGACGCUCCCUUGCGCUGCUCUGUUGUCUACCCCAUUUUGAUGCUUAUUUUGAAAAAGUGAAAUGCGAGCAAAAGAAUGGAAAGUAUGUCUUCGCUUGGGGCUGCGGGUUGAAGGUGGCGAUGGCGUUUUUUUUCUACUGUUAAUGCUUUACAAGGGGUUAUAAAUGGUUUUUCCAUGUCAUCCAUCUGUGCACCUGAAUCAACAGAAUUUUGUAGUUCCAACUUUGCGUUGUUGGUCUCAGUUUCCACCACUUCAGAACGAAAAGAAUCAGCAGUUCCACUGUGUAUAUUUUUCUCAAAAAUAUUGUCACAUCUCACAAUUUGAUGUUGUUUUAUUGCUGGUAGUUUGUUCUCCAUUUUGCAUCGAAGGGAAUCAUAUCUAAUUUGGUUGAGUAAAUCUUCAGCAUCGUAGACAUCAUCUUUCAAGUCAUCAAGUCAUUCUUUGAUAGAAGGAGUUUUGAUUUGCUUCUCCUCUGCAGUGUCUAGCACAGGUUGAAGAGUGUGUAGUGUUGCUCUUAACUGUUUCAAGAGUGAGACAUCGAGCUUGGUGUUUGUGAUGUAAUUAAGAAACUCUUUGGAAGCAAGUUUGUCAAGUAAGGUCUGAACAGUUGCAGAGAGGAAAGCGCUUCAUAAUUGGUUGCAGUCGCAUCACGUCUCUUGAUAUUGCAAAGAAACCCAGUCAAUUGUGAUCAUGUUGCAGUUUCAGCUAAAUCAAAAUCCUUUUGGUCGCACCCCAUAUCACAGACGCGGACCUUUGUUUAAAACCCAUAUUUAGGACGAAGGACUUUUGGUUUGGUAAUCAGAUUGGACUUUUGAUUCCAACAGAGCCAUAUAUUUAUCGAGCAUAGAGACCAUUGCUUCAAAUUCAGUUACUUGCUUCUCUAUGGCAUCAAUCCGCUUGACAUACUCGUUAAAGCUAUCACUCUUGCAUUCAUUUUCCUUUUUUUGUAGGUGUUCCCGCAAUAUGUAUUUACGAGUGCGCUUGAGUAAAUCGGUUCCUCGAGCACGAAACUCUUGGCUGCAAGUACUCAGGAAAUUAUUUGCAUUGACAAUCUCUCCAUCAUUAUCACCUAGUGCUAGCCCUACCGUUAAACUUCUAAGAAUUUGCUCAUACAAGUUCUCAGUACGCAAACCUCCUGGUGAAGUGAAGUUGAAAGUAUUUAAGGAAAUUGCUAAAGAGCAUCAAAUUGAUUAGGAUACUGCAGAGUCUGAAAAAGAGCUUCUCCAGCUUCCAGAAGAGCUAAUAGAAGGGCAACAAACUUUUGUUAGUGCUAGCACCCUGCCAGUGAAGGCGUUGAUAGAUGCGUCAAUUGAAUCAAAUAAGCAGCAAUCCACAAUAUCAUCUGGCAGUGCAAAUGGUUAUGCCCUAUAUUUUUGAAGAUUCUAAGUCUGCUGCUGAAGUAGCAGUUGGGUCAGCAGAGAAAACAAUUGCAGAUGCUGAUAUGGCUAUGAAGGACCAUAGUGAAUCCUCUCAACCAUAUUACAAUGAUAAGUGAGAUAAUGAUCCUGAGCAAUAAGGAUACAUUGUUAACCCAAUUGUAUGGUGGUAAGGAAUAUAGAAGACACAACUACCAUCAAGCUUCUACACAUUCGGAUAUUAAGUUUUGAUGAAGCAGUUUGCGAUGAAGAAAUUGAAACAGAACCUAUCCUGAAGCGACCAACGAAUUAGAUUUUCUUGAGGUUGCUUGGUCCAGUGUUAAUGGCCAACAACUAAUUUUAUUGCAUCAUUUGCAAUGAUUGUAAUUUUCCUCAAUUAACAUACUAGUUUCUCCUUUGUAUGCCACUUCAAUUAAGAUCUGAUGAAGAUUUAUUAUUUUCUCUUGCA